UAUGGCAGACUAGUGCAUUGGACUUAAAACCCAAAAAUAAAGAAUUCUUUUAUUAGAA
rnacentral:tRNA from 1 species